GACGAACGCUGGCGGCGUGCCUAACACAUGCAAGUCUAAGGAGAAAAGGGUAGCAAUAUCCUGAGUAAACUGGCGCACGGGUGAGUAACACGUAGGCAAUCUGCCUUUAGGACGGGAACAACCACGCGAAAGCGUGGCUAAUACCCGAUAAUGCAGCGGCACCGCAUGGUGACAGUUGUUAAAUCCCGCAAGGGGCCUAUUGAUGAGCCUGCGUCCCAUUAGGUAGUGGUGAGGUAACGGCUCACCAAGCCUGCGAUGGGUAGCUGGUCUGAGAGGAUGAUCAGCCACACUGGAACUGAGACACGGUCCAGACUCCUACGGGAGGCAGCAGUGAGGAAUAUUGCGCAAAUGGCCGAAAGGCUGACGCAGCGACGCCGCGUGAAGGAUGAAGUCCGUUAGGACG
rnacentral:rRNA from 1 species